rnacentral:rRNA from 1 species
CAGCCGCCGCGGGAAUACGUAGGGUGCGAGCGUUAAUCGGAAUUACUGGGCGUAAAGCGUGCGCAGGCGGUUGUGUAAGACAGGUGUGAAAUCCCCGGGCUUAACCUGGGAACUGCGCUUGUGACUGCACAGCUAGAGUAUGGCAGAGGGGGGUGGGAUUCCACGUGUAGCAGUGAAAUGCGUAGAGAUGUGGAGGAACACCGAUGGCGAAGGCAGCCCCCUGGGCCAAUACUGACGCUCAUGCACGAAAGCGUGGGGAGCAAACAGGAUUAGAUACCCGCGUAGUCCCUGUCUCUUAUAC